AGGGGUGGGGCCGCGACCGAUCAGGUAGUUGGUGAGGCAAUGGCUCACCAAGCCUUUUACCGGUGCGGGCCGUGAGAGCGGGAGCCCGGAGAUGGGCACUGAGACAAGGGCCCAGGCCCCACGGGGCGCAGCAGUCGCGAAAAUUUUGCAAUACACGAAAGUGUGACAGAGCUAUCCCGAGUGCCAUCCGCUGAGGAAGGCUUUUACCCAGUAUAAAUAGCUGGGAGAAUAAGGAGAGGGCAAGUCUGGUGUCAGCCGCCGCGGUAAUACCAGCUCUCCGAGUAGUGUGGACGUUUAUUGGGCCUAAAGCAUCCGUAGCUUGCUAGAUAAGUCCUCUGUUAAAUCCACCGAUUCAAUCGUUGGAUUGCGGGGGAUACUGUUUGGCUAGGGGACGGGAGAGGUCGACGGUAUUUCCGGGGUAGGGGUGAAAUCCUAUAAUCCCGGGAGGACCACCAGUGGCGAAGGCUGUCGACUAGAACGCGCCCGACGGUGAGGGAUGAAAGCUGGGGGAGCGAACCGGAUUAGAUACCCGGGUAGUCCCAGCUGUAAACGAUGCAGGCUAGGUGUUUGGGCGGCCACGAGCCGCCCUAGUGCCGCAGGGAAGCUGUUAAGCCUGCCGCCUGGGGAGUACGGCCGCAAGGCUGAAACUUAAAGGAAUUGGCGGGGGAGCACCACAAGGGGUGAAGCUUGCGGUUUAAUUGGAGCAACGCCGGAAAUCUCACCGGGAUCGACAGCAGUAUGAAGGCCAGAUUAAAGGUCUUGCUAGACGAGCUGAGAGGAGGUGCAUGGCCGUCGCCAGUUCGUGCCGUGAGGUGUCCUGUUAAGUCAGGCAACGAUCGAGACCCGCGUCCUCUGUUGCUACUGGUUUUGUGCCAGGCACACUGAGGAGACCGCCGCUGAUAAAGCGGAGGAAGGAGCGGGCCACGGCAGGUCAGUAUGCCCCGAAUAUCCCGGGCCACACGCGAGCUGCAAUGGCAGGUACAAUGAGUUCCGACCUCGUAAGGGGAAGGCAAUCUCGAAAGCCUGCCGUAGUUGGGAUCGAGGGUUGAAACUCACCCUCGUGAACAUGGAAUCCCUAGUAAUCGCGUGUCACUAGCGCGCGGUGAAUACGUCCCUGCUCCUUGCACACACCGCCCGCCGUUCCACCCGAGCGACUCCUGGGUGAGGCGUGGUCUUCCUUGGCUGCGUCGAAUCUGGGUUUCGCAAGGGGGGAAAAGUCGUAACAAGGUG
rnacentral:rRNA from 1 species